rnacentral:rRNA from 1 species
AUUGAACGCUGGCGGCAUGCUUUACACAUGCAAGUCGAACGGCAGCGCGGGCUUCGGCCUGGCGGCGAGUGGCGAACGGGUGAGUAAUGCAUCGGAACGUGCCCAGUAGUGGGGGAUAGCCCGGCGAAAGCCGGAUUAAUACCGCAUACGACCUGAGGGUGAAAGCGGGGGACCGAAAGGCCUCGCGCUAUUGGAGCGGCCGAUGUCGGAUUAGCUAGUUGGUGGGGUAAAGGCUUACCAAGGCGACGAUCCGUAGCUGGUCUGAGAGGACGACCAGCCACACUGGGACUGAGCCACGGCCCAGACUCCUACGGGAGGCAGCAGUGGGGAAUUUUGGACCAUGGGGGCAACCUUGAUCCAGCCAUGCCGCGUGCGGGAAGAAGGCCUUCGGGUUGUAAACCGCUUUUGUUCGGGAAGAAAUCCUAUGGGCUAAUACCCCGGGGGGAUGACGGUACCGGAAGAAUAAGCACCGGCUAACUACGUG